GUGAGAGUCAAGUGUGAUAGUUGCUACGAGAUGCAUACUCCAUAUAACGGAGUUAGUCCAGGAUCCUCGGACCACACCUGCCAAGCAGAUGGGACAUGGUCAGAGGAGCUACCUUACUGCAAACUCAUUAAGUGUGAUAUCAUCAAGUUCAGUAACGGUAACUACAGCGACAACAGCUACUCAGGCUAUUGCGGCAGCACGAGAACAUUCCAGUGUUACUCCGGCUACACCCUCACCGGACCCACCAGUC